UACAGAGGGGGCAAGCGUUGUUCGGAAUUACUGGGCGUAAAGGGCGCGUAGGCGGCCCUCUAAGUCAGACGUGAAAUCCCUCGGCUCAACCGGGGAACUGCGUCUGAGACUGGAAGGCUUGAAUUCGGGAGAGGGAUGUGGAAUUCCAGGUGUAGCGGUGAAAUGCGUAGAUAUCUGGAGGAACACCGGUGGCGAAGGCGGCAUCCUGGACCGAUAUUGACGCUGAGGCGCGAAAGCCAGGGGAGCAAACGGG
rnacentral:rRNA from 1 species